rnacentral:tRNA from 1 species
GAGGAUGUGGCUAAAUUAUGUAAAAAUAACGGACUACAAAUCCGUCACAGUCUUCAAACUCUAUAUAAGGGUUCAAGCCCCUCCAUCCUUU